rnacentral:ncRNA from 1 species
AAAAGGAUCUCAACCAAAUAUAAACAUGAAUACAAACACUUUAUUUUAUUAGUUUUAUAGAAAAUUUAAAAUUAAAUUGAUUUAUACUUUAUAUAAUAUAUAAAACAGAUAAAUGAGACCAACAUUAUAUUCUUUUUAAUAUUAAAGUAUAUAGUAUUCUUUACAUUCUGAAACGAUAGCAUGGAAUAACUCGAUAGGAGUCUGGUCCUAUUGUGUUGGCCUUCGGGAUCGGAGUAAUGAUUAAUAGGGAUUGUCGGGGGCAUUCGUAUUUCAUUGUCAGAGGUGAAAUUCUUGGAUUCAUGAAAGACGAACCACUGCAAAAGAAUUUUCCAAGGAUGUUUUCAUUAAUCAAGAACGAAAGUUGGGGGCUCAAAGACGAUCAGAGACCAUCCUAGUCUCAACCAUAAACAAUGUCGACCAGGGAUCAAUGCAUGUUUCUCUAAGAACUUUGCCAACACCUUCUGAGAAAUCAGAGUGUUUCGGUU